GGAGUUUGGGCCGUGUCUCAGUCCCAAUGUAGCCGUUCACCCUCUCAGGCCGGCUACUGAUCGUCGCUUUGGUGGGCCGUUACCCCGCCAACUGGCUAAUCAGACGCGGGUCCAUCUUACACCGAUAAAUCUUUUCACACUAUAUCAUGCGAUACCGUGCGCUUAUGCGGUAUUAGCAGUCGUUUCCAACUGUUGUCCCCCUGUGUAAGGCAGGUUACCCACGCGUUACUCACCCGUCCGCCACUAAGUCAUCCCAAUUGAUUCUACUUUGAGCAAGCUCUCCAUUUCAUCGGGCGGGACGCUUCGUUCGACUUGCAUGUGUUAAGCACGCCGCCAGCGUUCAUC
rnacentral:rRNA from 1 species